CAAAGGAGCGCUGGGUGUCACAUGAUUAGCCAGUACUCAAUCUGUCAGCGUGCCGCCGGAGAGCGAGUGGCUCCCAUGUCAGGUAAAACGGAAGGGCAGUGCCAGUGUCCGAGGUGAAGGUGUGAAGGUACAGCUGCCUGACAAUAGGGAAGAAGGGAGUAUAAAUGUAAGGGGUAGGAUGGGAGACAUGGGGGGAGGAAGGGAAAGAGGUGUGGAUGGAGAGACACAUGGAUGGAAUGUGUAGGGAGGAAGACAUGGGGUAAGAGAUACGAAUGGAAGGGGGAGAGGGAGAUAUGAAUGAAAAGGGGGAGGAAACA